CACACACCUGCUUCUCCAGUGAAGGGGCAGAAGAAAAUAAAAGAAUUUGUAAGGAAGGUUUGAAAUUAAAAUGGUAUUACAAGGCACAGACCACAUUGGGAUGGGGUCAAGGUGCAAGCCUGUUUACAUGACUGGGGGUGGGGGAGUGAGAAGUAGCCCACUUAUCAGGAGCAGAGAGAAUUCUGGGUAGGGACAGAUGAACCAGUCCUGGAGAACAGCAGCAGGACUGCAUCUGAGAUGGAGAAACAAGAAGCACCUCAGCCAAGGUCUCUAAGAUCAUGCGACAGGUUGGAGCUCCAUGAAAACAAACUGAUGAAGUUGACUCACAGAGGUGGCUCGCAAUCCAGAGAUGAAGUAGCAACUGCAAAUACUAGGAGUUUGGUGCCAUCUGGUGCAUUUUGUUGGUAUGUUCUCCCUACUGCCAGCCACCUGGUGGUGCACAGAAACUCUGUCUACAAGAUCUUGCUACGUAGCCCUGACUGUCCUGGAACUCAACAUAUAGACCAGGCUGGCCAGAAACUCACCUCCUCUGUGCCAGGACAAAGGCAUCCACCACAACAACCAAUUUACCUCCUGUGGUUUUGUUGCUGGCAUUUUCCUUCUCAUCUAAGAAAACACCAAAAAAUAUAACUGGAUUUUUAAAGUGAAGGCAAUGAAACUUAUGCAAGAUACCUAUCUAAUAAAU